UCUCAGUCUCCCACAGUUUGCCUGAACAGU
rnacentral:piRNA from 1 species